rnacentral:misc_RNA from 1 species
GAUGAAGAACGCAGCGAAAUGCGAUAAGUAGUGUGAAUUGCAGAAUUCAGUGAAUCAUCGAAUCUUUGAACGCACAUUGCGCCCUUUGGUAUUCCAAAGGGCAUGCCUGUUCGAGCGUCAUUUGUACCCUCAAGCUUUGCUUGGUGUUGGGCGUCUUGUCUCUAGCUUUGCUGGAGACUCGCCUUAAAGUAAUUGGCGGCCGGCCUACUGGUUUCGGAGCGCAGCACAAGUCGCACUCUCUAUCAGCAAAGGUCUAGCAUCCAUUAAGCCUUUUUUUCAACUUUUGACCUCGGAUCAGGUAGGGAUACCCGCUGAACUUAAGCAUAUCAAUAAGCGGAGGA